rnacentral:rRNA from 1 species
UACGAAGGGGCUAGCGUUGCUCGGAAUCACUGGGCGUAAAGCGCACGUAGGCGGAUUGUUAAGUCAGGGGUGAAAUCCUGGAGCUCAACUCCAGAACUGCCCUUGAUACUGACGGUCUCGAGUCCGGGAGAGGUAAGUGGAAUUCCGAGUGUAGAGGUGAAGUUCGUAGAUAUUCGGAAGAACACCAGUGGCGAAGGCGACUUACUGGACACAUAUUGACGCUGAGGUGCGAAAGCGUGGGAGCAACAGG